rnacentral:rRNA from 1 species
GGCUCAGGAUGAACGCUGGCGGCGUGCUUAACACAUGCAAGUCGAACGAGGAUUUAACGGAAUGCGAUUCGUCAAAUGAAAUUAAAUCCGAGUGGCGGACGGGUGAGUAACGCAUGGAUAACCUGCCUCACACAGGGGGACAACAGUUGGAAACGACUGCUAAUACCGCAUAACACAAGUAAUUCGCAUGAAUAACUUGCCAAAGAUUAUAUCGGUGUGAGAUGGAUCCGCGUCUGAUUAGCCAGUUGGCGGGGUAACGGCCCACCAAAGCGACGAUCAGUAGCCGACCUGAGAGGGUGACCGGCCACAUUGGGACUGAGACACGGCCCAAACUCCUACGGGAGGCAGCAGUGGGGAAUAUUGCACAAUGGGCGCAAGCCUGAUGCAGCGACGCCGCGUGAAGGAUGAAGUAUUUCGGUAUGUAAACUUCUAUCAGCAGGGAAGAAAAUGACGGUACCUGACUAAGAAGCCCCGGCUAACUACGUG